UAAUGAGAAAGAAUAUACAGUGUGAAGUUCUAAUGACAGAAUUUUGUCGUGUACAUUCUGGUACUUUUCUAUGCAUUUUAUUGUGCUUUUCUCUUUUUUAAAUUAAGAUUCUUGUCCCUAAAGUUGCUAUUUAUUACUGUACAUGAGUUUGCAUUGUUCUGUGUUUUUAUAACCUGCACUGUGUUUGAACA